GAUGAAGAACGUAGCGAAAUGCGAUACUUGGUGUGAAUUGCAGAAUCCCGUGAACCAUCGAGUCUUUGAACGCAAGUUGCGCCUCAAGCCAUUAGGUUGAGGGCACGUCUGCUUGGGCGUCACAUAUCGUUGCCUGAUGCCAGUUUCCUCGUGAUGGGUGACUGUGCAGGGCGAAUGAUGGCUUCCCGUGAGCAUUGUUGCCUCAUGGUUGGUUGAAAAUUGAGUCCUUGGUAGGGAGCGCCGUGAUAGAUGGUGGUUGAGUGACGAACGAGACCCAAUCAUGUGAGACCCCUACCGAAUUUGGCCUUCAUGACCCACAUGCGUCUUUGGAACGCUCAUGACGAGACCUCAGGUCAGGCGGGGCUACCCGCUGAGUUUAAGCAUAUCAAUAAGCGGAGGA
rnacentral:misc_RNA from 1 species